UACGGGGGGGGCAAGCGUUGUUCGGAAUUACUGGGCGUAAAGGGCUCGUAGGCGGCCAACUAAGUCGGACGUGAAAUCCCUCGGCUUAACCGGGGAACUGCGUCCGAUACUGGAUGGCUUGAGUUCGGGAGAGGGAUGCGGAAUUCCAGGUGUAGCGGUGAAAUGCGUAGAUAUCAUGAGGAAUACCAGAGGCGAAGGCGGCUACCUGGACAAUUGCUGACGCUCAGGCACGAAAGCGUGGGGAGCAAAAGGG
rnacentral:rRNA from 1 species